AACGAACGCUGGCGGCAGGCUUAACACAUGCAAGUCGAACGGUAAGGCCCUCCGGGGUACACGAGUGGCGAACGGGUGAGGAACACGUGGGUGAUCUGCCCUGCACUUCGGGAUAAGCCUGGGAAACUGGGUCUAAUACCGGAUAGGACUCCUGGCUUCAUGGUUGGGGGUGGAAAGCUUUUGCGGUGUGGGAUGGGCCCGCGGCCUAUCAGCUUGUUGGUGGGGUAAUGGGCUACCAAGGCGACGACGGGUAGCCGGCCUGAGAGGGUGACCGGUCACACUGGGACUGAGAUACGGCCCAGACUCCUACGGGAGGCAGCAGUGGGGAAUAUUACACAAUGGGCGCAAGCCUGAUGCAGCGACGCCGCGUGAGGGAUGACGGCCUUCGGGUUGUAAACCUCUUUCAGCUAUGACGAAGCGCAAGUGACGGUAGUAGCAGAAGAAGGACCGGCCAACUACGUGCCAGCCGCCGCGGUAA
rnacentral:rRNA from 1 species